AUUCGUUAUGUUAAUGUAUGCAAUAUUGUCGGAAAGGCUAUUUGCCCAGACAGGACGGUGAAAUUUAUGGAUUGAAUGAUGACCUUCGACUGCUGGCAGGUGAUGGGUUCAAGGACGUUAUUAGAGACAGGAAAGUCGUAUAAAAAGCUGAGCCUAUCCACUGGGUGUGUUGGGCGCAAAGGGCAAUCUCAAUAAGAACAAUACAAUGUAAACCUAAUAAAUAAUAAUGUGUCCGUUA